rnacentral:lncRNA from 1 species
GGCCCUUUUUCGACUGCGGGUUUACUCGAGUCUCCCGCCUGCCGCUCUCUCGCAGUCUUCUCAUCCUUCAUUUUGAAGGCUUCUUCCACUCGGGCGUACCCUUCAGCCCGAGCCAACAGAUCAGCAAAAUCCCUGGGGUACUUCUUCUCCAGGGAGAACAAAAGGUCAUUCUUCUGAAGGCCACCCUUCAGAGCGGCCAUUGCUACCG